rnacentral:rRNA from 1 species
GAUGAACGCUGGCGGCGUGCCUAACACAUGCAAGUCGAACGGGAACCUUUGGAUUCGUCUGAGGGUGAGAGUGGCGGACGGGUGAGUAACACGUAGGUGACCUACCCCAAAGAGGGGAAUAACCGCUGGAAACGGUGGCUAAUACCCCAUGUGCUCGGUGGUUCAGUCUAUCGAGUAAAGCUCCGGCGCUUUGGGAGGGGCCUGCGGCCCAUCAGGUAGUUGGUAGGGUAAUGGCCUACCAAGCCGAUGACGGGUAGGGGCGUGAGAGCGUGAACCCCCACACUGGCACUGAGAUACGGGCCAGACUCCUACGGGUGGCAG